rnacentral:rRNA from 3 species
CCUGGCGGCAGUAGCGCGGUGGUCCCACCUGACCCCAUGCCGAACUCAGAAGUGAAACGCCGUAGCGCCGAU